rnacentral:rRNA from 1 species
GACGAACGCUGGCGGCGUGCUUAACACAUGCAAGUCGAGCGGUAAGGCCCUUUCGGGGGUACACGAGCGGCGAACGGGUGAGUAACACGUGGGUGACCUGCCUCUAGCUCUGGGAUAAGCCCGGGAAACUGGGUCUAAUACUGGAUAUGACCCCAUGACGCAUGUUGUGGGGUGGAAAGCCUUGUGCGGCUAGAGAUGGGCCCGCGGCCUAUCAGCUUGUUGGUGGGGNGAUGGCCUACCAAGGCGACGACGGGUAGCCGGCCUGAGAGGGCGACCGGCCACACUGGGACUGAGACACGGCCCAGACUCCUACGGGAGGCAGCAGUGGGGAAUCUUGCGCAAUGGGCGAAAGCCUGACGCAGCGACGCCGCGUGAGGGAUGACGGCCUGG